UGGAAGUAUGUGAGUGUUGAUGGUGGUGUAUCUGGUGGUCGAGCUGAAGUUAGUAUGUUGUAGUAUUAUACUGUUACAAAUAUCGUUAUAGCAUGGGUUCUUAGAUAAGAAAUUUCAGAAAGAAAAGUGAUGUUGUUUUUUUGUUGAAACGACAACAGACAGUCUGAACAUCAUGCUAUUAUUUUUGCUUUUAUCCACCAUUUGGCUUAUCCACCUGUGCUAAUCUAGAGUGUAUUUCCGUUAUAGAGAACAAGCUUGUGAACUUCAGGCAUUGUAUAUCUCUCCAAACCGCAGGUCGGUGUCACUGGUUGUACAUGUUUGCAUCCACCAUGCGGGUGGCCACCACCACAAACUACUGUGGAACCUGGACCCUUGGGAUGUGGCCUCUCUUGCGAGUCAGGAAGAGAUGGUAGAAUAGAAACGUAGGGAGAUGGACUGUCGAAUCAGAAAGUAAUUUCCGCUACCUAACAGGAAUGAGCAAAUUGAAUUGAUCUCGAAGGCUUUUAUUUUGUAUUCUCAUGAUGAUUCUACGAGGGGUCGGUUAUACAUCUGUGGCGCGUUAGCAAGUGCUAAAUAAGUCUAUCGUGUGUUAAUUCAGUUGUGAUUCAAAGUUUCAUGCUACAUAGCUUUUAAAUUGGCAUUCUCUUAGUUCAGUUUGAGUGGCAGUAUAAAAAGUUGAUCCGCCUUGCCAAGGACAAAAAGUCGAGCUCCUUAUUGAUGCCUCUUGUGUGUAUCCUUUUUUUAGUAUGAUUCUAGACUUAAAUAUUCUUUUUCUAACUACAACUGUUUACUUAAAGGAUUGCAUGCCACAAGGACUUCAAUAGUUGCAGUUAUCCUAUUGAUAGUCUUCACCAAUGCCCAUGCUAUCAACAUGUAUGGUUGCAUACCUUACAUUUUUCUAUUUGGAAGGGCUAUGGACCACAAUCAAUUGAACAUAAACGGGGGCUAUGUAUGUUGUUGUGAAGCCUAAAUUUUAAUUCUGUUGUUUAGUCUCCAAGCCCUAUACACCAAAUACUAAGAACUUCGAUAGUGGGAAUUCUGCAGAUGGUAUGUUCUGAACUUAUAGGUGAACUUGGAGAUGUUCCUAUGGAUCUCGAUUAUAUGAAAUGUUUCCUUGGUUGGCAUUUCAUGAGUUAAUGACUUUCGUACUUUUCAUGCGUUCUAAUGUCUUCAUGUUUUCCAUCUCAACUUACUGCUUUUCCUUUUGGCAGGAUGUAGAUUCAGAACACUUUGAGACAUCACCUCUUUAUGCCAAAGGGAAUUGAUGAUGAAUUGAUGAUGAUGUGACAACAUGAAGCUAACAAGGUCUAGCAGAUAAUUAUAAUGCAGUGACGAGUGAAAAUGAGAGAGCACUACCAGAGAAAUGCUACAUAACUUUUUAAGUGGCAUUAUGUUAGUUUAGUUUGAGCGCAAGUGUAAAAGUAUGUCUUUCUCACAUCCUUAAAAACGUUAAAAAAAAGAGCCCUUCACUGAUGAUUCUUGUGUGUAUGAGUGUAUCCUCCGGUUUUACUUACGAUUGUAGACUUAGCAUAUUCACUACUAUAGAACAAUCAAUUUUAUCUUUAUCAGUGUGAGAUGGACAAGAGACGAUUACAUCACUGACAUCA